CAAAGCCACCACCCCCACCCCCACUAGCCUCCAUCUCUUCAGCAUGGCUUGCCGCCGCCACCGCCUCUUCCUGUUGUCAUAGCAACAGGAUCCAGGCGCCCAGCCAAGGUUGGCAGCGGCAGCCGGAAAUGAGGGGAGGGCCUUUUAAAAAAGACCCCAGGAAUGCUCUCCCCCUUUCUCCCCCCCCCCAAAAAAAAUCAAGGGAAAGAUCAACUUCUCAGGGUCUUUUCUCCUCUUUCCUCAAGUAGCGGGGCCAAAGAUUUCUUCCAAAUGAACCAUAAUUCAUUUACAAGCAUAGCAAGCAUUUUGAGUUUUACCAACAAUUUUCUUUUUCUUGGUACCUUCUGCUUCUACCGUAGCUUAUUUAACCCUGACGGAAAAGGAGGAUGUCGUUCGGUUCUCAUCAAGACAAGAAUCAGGCUGGGGAACAAAGAGGAUAGAUAAACGUAUCCAGGACUGGGCUGGAGAACUAGGCAACAGUUGUGAAUAUUGCUGUCACUUCUAGAACUAAUCAGUGAGUAUGGGAUGGGCCAAGUUAAGGUAGAAAAACAGACGAUUUUAACUUUGUUCUUGGUCUGAGUUUCAGGAAUGUCCCCUGGCUUCUGGGUGACCUUGGACCAAAUAUUUCCUGUCCUUCUAAACUCAGCCUUUUGGAGGACCAGAGUUACCUUGAUUUGAUGAGAACAACCUGGGAAGUCCCCUCACACAUUUUUUUAAGACCGAUGUAAAUUGAGCCAGACAGCCCACAAACCACUUUAUCUCAAGAAAUUCUUACAAAAUAUUUGCCAAGUGGUCAGGCAGAGACUCUGAGAUGGGAAGCCAUUCACCCAAGAUCACCCAGGGAAUACAAGGCAGAGCUGGGUUGAAGCAGCCUUUUUGUGGAGAAAGACCAGCAAUGGUGUCCACAGAAGCCAGAAGAGGUGUCAGAUCCCUCAGAGGAUUGUGAGCUGCUCAACGUAGGUGCUGAGGACGCAACUCUGGCCCUUAUAACCAAGCGGUAAGCACUCAUAACCACAGAGCCAUUUCUCAAGCCCCAGAGAAUUUGUGUGUGUGUGUGUGUGUGUGUGUGUGUGUGUGUGCACGCAUGCAUGCACACACAUGUGCUCACAUGUUUGUAGAAGUCAGAGGACAAUCUCAGGUGUUCUUCCUCAGGUAGUGUCUACCAGUUUUUACUUUUUGAAUUUAUUUAUUUUAUAUGUAUGAGUGUUUUGCCUUAUAUAUGCCAUAUAUGUAUACCAUGUAUGUGCCUAGUGCCCUCAAGUUAGAAGAGCAGGCCAAAUCUCGCUGGAACUUAUGAGCUACUGUGUUCGUGCUAGGAAGCAAACCUUGGUCUCUUGCAAAAGCAGCAGGUACUCUUAACCGCCGAGCUGUCUCUCCAGUCUCAGGAUUUCAAGUUUGAAGCUAGACCAGCUAGACUAUUCCACAAGUUUCGGUGCAGCCUACACUCCACAGUGAGAUACUGUCUUGGUAAAUAGUUAGACCACAGCAUGCUUACAUAAGCAACUUACUUUAGUGAAAAAUCUCUAGGGGCUUUCAAAACAAAAGCAGCAUAUGCAGAUGCAUUAUAAAAUCUAUGCAACCUUUGUCCACAUAGAAGAAAGGCAAGGGCCGGUGUGGUAGUGCAGGUGCAUCAGCCCAGCUGCUUGGACGACUGUGUAGAACCAUAGUGCAUUUGAGACCAGCCUGUGCUACUGCGAGAGUUCAAGGAAAGCCUGCUCAGUUCUUUUUUAAGGAUUUAUUUAUUGUAUUUAUGUGAGUACAUUGCCGCUGUCUUCAGACACACCAGAAGAGGGCAUCAGAACCUAUUACAGAUGGUUGUGAGCCACCAUGUGGUUGCUGGGAAUUGAACUCAGGAGCUCUGGAAGAACAGUCAGUGCUCUUAACUGCUGAGCCAUCCCUCCAGCCCCAAGCCUGCUCAGAUUAGUGAGACUGUAUCUCCAAAUAAAAAUUUUUAAAGGACUAAAGAUCUAAUUCAGAUGUAGAGCCUUUGCCUAGUAUGUGUGAGGUCUGAGUUCAGUUGGACUUCCAUUUCUUUGUUCUUUCUAUCAUCUUCUUACUGAUCUACUCUAUGUUCCAUAAAGGAAUAAUCGUAUAAGGGGGAAAUAAAUCGAUUCAGACCCUAUUUAAUUUUGUCUAUCUGUCAUCUAUUUAUCUAUUACUUCCUUAAAAUUUUAGAAAAGAUUUGUGUGUGUGUAUGUGUGUAUGUUUGUGUGUGCGCGCGCGCGUGCACACGUGCUAUGUUUAUUUGCUUGCUUGCUUGUUUAGAUACAGUAUCUAUCUCAAACUAGCCUCAAACUCCAAGUACAGCUCUGGCCUUGAACUCCUUGAUCCUCCAGCAUCUACUUCCUGAGUGCUGGGGUUAUGGAUGUGUGCUACCAGGCUCAGCUCCUGUCUUUACUUCUCUUUGAACCCAUAAUCCCAUCCCCUUGCCUUCAGAUUGAAUCCUAGAGUUCUUUAAACAAGUCCCAGAGAGCAACCACUAAUUUAAGCACCACUAAUGUGUGAGCCUCCUCUGUAAAUAACACAAGAUGCAGGACACUGUGUGAAAACCCGUCACAGAGAGACAGGUGAAUUCCCUGUACAUGAAGGCAUACCCAGUCAUGGGUGAGUAGUACAGGCUCAGGGACUCCGAGGAUUCCAUUUUAGCUCAGCGAUUUUCUAGCUGUGUGACGAGGAGAAGGUUAAUUAAUGUCCCCAUGCCCUCGGAUCUCAUUUACAAAAUGAGAUGAUAAUAAGUGCCAACCUCCUCAGCUUGCACAACAUAAAUGACUUAAAGCAAAGUGGCCAGUGACAGGAAGCACUUGCUAAAUUAUGCAACUGAUUUAUGCAAACUAUUGUUAUUAAGUGGCCUUGGAAAACAGUCAAGAAGGGUUAUGUAACUGAUAUGAAACUGGCUCCAUGCCACAUGUGUAGUUGGAAGGUGGAGAACUCUGUGCCUUCUGUGAUGGCUGUUACAUAAAUUGCACACAUACGUGCUUUGUGCCCACCUGUGUGUGCAUUUAAACACAUGCCUGCGCCGACAAAGACUCACAGCGCACUUCUCAAUUGAUCUGUUUGAAAGUCAUAGUACCUGUUGGCGAUGGAUCACAGUUGGUAAAGUGAUUGCAUAGUAUGCACAAAGACCUGGGUUCAAUCCCCCACAUCAUAUAAGCAUACGUGGAAGGGCAUGGAACCCUCGGGAGGUGAAGAAAAGAGGAUUGGUUCAAAGUCAGCCUUAGCUGGGACUAACACACACACACACACACACACACACACACACACACACACACAUACACACACAAAAUCAACAACAAACAGAACUCUGGUAGUACCUUGAGGGCAGAGGUUUCUGAAUAACAGCAUGUCUUAGUUUACUUUUGAUGAGAAACCUCACAGCAUUCCUCUGAAAAACUUGGCUAGGGAGGAAGAUAGCUUGACAGGUAAAGGUUCUUGCUAAUGGUAGGUGUGCUGGCUAGUUUUAUGUCAACUUGACACAAGCUAAAGUCAUCUGGGAGGAAGGAACCUCGAUUAAGAAAAUGCUUUAUGGGCUGGAAAGAUGGCUCAGCAGUUAAGAGCACAGACUGCUCUUUCAGAGGUCCUAAGUUCAAUUCCCAGCAACCACAUGGUGGCUCACAACCAUCGGUAAUGUGACCCUGUGCCGUCUUCUGGUGUUUCUGAACAGAGUGACAGUGUACCUACAUACAUAGAAUAAAUAAAUCUUUAAAAAUAAAAAGAAAAGAAAAGCAGGAAAGAAAAUGCUGUAUGCCAAGCAUGGUGGUGCAUGCCUUUAAACCCAGUACUGGAGAGGCAGAGGCAGGUGGAUCACUGUAAGUUUGAGGCCAGCCUAAUCUACAAAGCAAGUUCCAGUACAGCCAGGACUACACAGAGAAACCCUGUCUCAGAACAACAAAACAAAACAAAAGAAAAUGCUUUGUAAGUUCAAGUUGUAGGUAAGCCUGUAGGGAAUUUUCUUAGUGAUUGAUGGGGGAGGGCCCCGCCCAUUGUGUGUGAUGCCAUAUCUGGGCUCUAUAAAAAAGCAGGCUGGGCAAACCCUGGGGAGCAAGCCAGUAAGUAGGACCCUUCCUCCACGGGUUCUGCAUCAGCUCCUGCCUCCGGGUUCCUGCCCUGUGUGAGUUCUUGCCCUCACUGCCCUGGAUAAUAAGCUAUAAUAUGGAAUUGUGAGUGAAAUAAACCCUUUCCUCCCCAAGCUACUUUGGUCAUGGUGACUCAUCACAACACUAGUAACCCUAACUAAGCCGGUCGGGAAGAGAGUUUCUUGGUAAAAGUGCUUGCUGUGUAGCCUGACGACCUGAGUUUGAUCCCUCCUGACCUCCUCAUGCACACACACAAAUAAUGUUUUUAAAACAAAACUUUUCAAUACAGGAUUUUUUUUCCCCUCUGCCUGCAAAACGUAUCAAAAAUAAAACGAGAUGGAUAAGUUCUUGGCCCCCUUGUCAUGACCAAACAGCUGACAACAAGAAACUUUAGGAGGGAAGCUCUGUCUUGACUACUGGAGAGGGCACAGUGCACUCUCAGGGGAGGAGCAUGAGGCAGAGCUGGAGCACUGCAUUCCCAGUCGGGAAGCAGAGAGAGACAGAUGCUGGUACUCUGCUGCCUCUCCCUGUUUAUUCAAAUCAGGACUCCUGCAUGGUACCACCCCUGUUCAAGGUGGAUCUUCUGUCCUAGUUAGCUCUCUACUGCUGUGGUGAACACCGUGACCAAAAGCAAUGAGGGAGGGAAGGGUACCUUACUCAGCACAGCCCAUGAGGGAAAUCGGGGCAGGAACUGAAGGAGGAGCAGAGGCAAGACCUAAGGAAGACUGCAGAUCAUCUGCUCCCUUUCCGUGACUUGUUAACCCUUCCUCCCGAUACAACCCACGACCACCUGUCUAGCACUGUCACUGCUCACAGCAGUCUGAGCCCUCCUGUACCAAUCACUGAUCAAGAAAAUGCCCAACAGACUUACCUGCCAGCCAGUCAAAUGGAGGUACUUUCUCCAUCAAGGUUCCUCUUCUCAGAUGGCUCUAGCCUCUGUCAAGCUGUACAGACCUGACCACACCCCCCACCACCACCACCUAAACUAAUCCGACUUAGAUAGUCCCUCACAGCAUGCUUGGAGGAGGCCUGGGUUCUAGGUGAUUCCAGGUCCUGCCAAGGUACAAGAGUGGACUGAACUUUCAGUUUUCAAGAUUUUAUCUUUUUCUUUCUUUACUCUUUGGUGGGGGUUGGGGGGUAAGGGCAUAUGCCCUUGUGUGUAUGUAUAGAUAUGAACACACGUGUGCACAAGGAAAAACCAGAAGAGGACAUUGGUGUCUCUGCCGAAUUCCUUUUGAAACACUGGCUCACUGAGCUGGAAACCAGAAAACUCUAGUAAGCCUCCUAUCUGGCCUUCCCAAUGCUGGAGUUACGGGCCCAUGAGGUCGUGUGCAGCUCUUGCUGGGAUUUUGAACUCAAGUCCUCGUGUCUAGAUAGCAAGAGCCCUUAUCCACUGAGUCAUCCCCACAGCCUUCCAGCUUUGUUUUUCUUAAGAGAACACAGAUGUCACGGCUUCAGGUUGCUGUGCACUGUUCAGUCAUCAAUAGCCAGCACUUGUAUCUUCACCACCCAUGCCAUGGGCAAGGCAGACAGCACCAAUAGAUGGGGACGUCCCUUCCUACUGAGCAAAUAAAUGCUCAGAGAUCUUCUAAUACUCUGUUCCAAGCCACCACUAGGAAUCAAUUAGUCUCGACAAAGAAGCCGAACUGUAUUUGCCAUUGCGAAUCUCAAGCCUGACCUUCAGAAAUUCCUGGAAUCAUGGAAAAUGAGUCAGAAUGAAUCUCCCUCCCGGAGUCUGACCCUGCUGAAUCGGAGUUCUUUCCUGAGAACCUCUCCAAGUCACCCUCUCUAUUCCAGAGGGAUUUGGAAUCAUUCUAAACCAUCACCCUCAUUUUUAUUUUUUAAGAUAGAAAAGGAAACCAAAGCCUCAGAAAUUAAGAAAGAAAAAAAAACUCACUCAAGGUCACAGCAUGAGUUUGCAUAAAAUCUGCAGUGGUAAAAUGUAGCAGCUGGGGAUGGCAAGAUGGCUCAGCGAGUAAAGGAGCUUGCCACCAAAGCUGACAACCUGGGUUCAGUCGCUGGAACCCAUGUGAUAAAAGGAGAGAACAGAUUCCUGAAAGCUGUCCUCUGACCUCCACAUGUGCACCGGGGCACGAUUGCCCCCCUUAUUAUUAUUAUGGUUAUGAUGAUGAUGAUGAUGCAACAGCUAACUGACUGUGAAUCAAGGAAACCCUGGGGACAGGACUGGUUAGUUACAUGUUAAUAGCUGGGCAAACUUAACUCCCUAUGCCUCGGGUUUCUUCACCUGUAAAUGGGGCUAAUUGGAAUACUGAGCUCACAGGACAGGAAGAAAAACAAUGACUGAAUAAAUUUUAAAAAUGUCCCCUCAGUAUGGCUGUGGCUGUGACCCAGGUGUCAUAGUUGCAGGGCCAUUAUCAUUGCCCCCUUGGGAUGUUAAACAGAUGAGGCAAAGAGCAAGAGACAGACCUCAUACUUCCUUCCCGAUAGCUUUUCAGAUUAAGCUUAUUAAGGACACAGGGGAUCUGCCCCCAGUGGCAGAGCCCCUGUCCAGAAUCCCCCAGUGAGGGGCUGGAGAUUCUUACUCAGAGUUCUAGCUUUUCAUACAGGGUUCCCUA